UACGAAGGGGGCUAGCGUUGUUCGGAAUCACUGGGCGUAAAGCGUAUGUAGGCGGAUUGUUAAGUCAGGGGUGAAAUCCCGAGGCUCAACCUCGGAACUGCCUUUGAUACUGGCUGUCUUGAGUCCGGGAGAGGUGAGUGGAACUCCUAGUGUAGAGGUGAAAAUUCGUAGAUAUUAGGAAGAACACCAGUGGCGAAAGGCGGCUCACUGGCCCGGAACUGACGCUG
rnacentral:rRNA from 1 species